CCUACGGGGGGCAGCAGUGGGGAAUAUUGGACAAUGGGCGAAAGCCUGAUCCAGCCAUGCCGCGUGUGUGAAGAAGGCCUUCGGGUUGUAAAGCACUUUCAGUGGGGAAGAAAGCCUUGGGGCUAAUACCCUCGAGGAAGGACAUCACCCACAGAAGAAGCACCGGCAACUCCGUGCCAGCAGCCGCGGUAAUACGGAGGGUGCGAGCGUUAAUCGGAAUUACUGGGCGUAAAGCGCGCGUAGGCGGUCUGAUAAGCCGGUUGUGAAAGCCCCGGGCUCAACCUGGGAACGGCAUCCGGAACUGUCAGGCUUGAGUGCAGGAGAGGAAGGUAGAAUUCCCGGUGUAGCGGUGAAAUGCGUAGAGAUCGGGAGGAAUACCAGUGGCGAAGGCGGCCUUCUGGACUGACACUGACGCUGAGGUGCGAAAGCGUGGGUAGCGAACAGGAUUAGAUACCCUAGUAGUC
rnacentral:rRNA from 1 species